GAUACGGACAGGUAAUGAGGCCAGACAGAGACACAGAGACCAUGGUUUAAAAACCAAGAGCUUCCUUUGUUGAUCUAGAGAGAGCUCUUUACAGUACAUUAGAAUUUUAUAUAAUAACAACCGACAGUUCUGGUUCUAUACCUUAAUAUUAGGAGUUUCCAUAGAAGUUCAAAGUUUAAGUUUGUUUUUCAGAUGCUGAUUCAUGACGGAUCAGGAGAAACAGGUAAACCUUAUAUUGUCCUUGGGUGGGCAGAUGAUGCUGGAGGCACUCAGGAAAAGAAGAUGCACAGAAGCAGAGAACAGACUGUACAGUCAGCAAGGGCAAUGGUCUGUUGACAGCAAGCUGUUGGUUUCACUGCCAGAAAAGAAUGGAGACAAAAGCAGCGAUAGGCGAGAAAGGUCUGCUAAACUGCCGAUGAUUUUAUGCUUUGCCACUGCCUUCUAUAUUAAUACUGCCUGCCCAAUUGCAUGCUAAAGAGCAGUUUGGCUGUUGACCGUUAGGAUCAGGAUCAUUGUUUACGUAGGAUACUGAAUAUAUUUGUAUACACUGUAAACUAUUUGAAUGUGUAACAUAAUUGUUAAAUAUUUUUAUUCAAUUAAUAUGCUUUAGAGUAUAAUUACUGGAACAUAUUGCAAGUAAUAUGAAAAAUAAAUGUUUUUUUUUUCUUUUCAAUAUUCAAAUUAAUGCG
rnacentral:lncRNA from 1 species